UCCUGGCUUAGGAUUAACGCUGGCGGCGUGCCUAAUACAUGCAAGUCGGAUGGUAGCUGCUAACCAUGGCGAACGGGUGAGUAACACGUAGGUAACCUGUCUUAAAGACGAGGAUAACCAUUGGAAACGAUGGAUAAGUACUGGAUAGGAUAUAUAAGGGCAUCCUGAUAUAUUUAAAGAUUUAUCACUUUAUGAGGGGCCUGCGGCGCAUUAGUUAGAUGGCGGUGUAAAGGACCACCAUGACGAUGAUGCGUAGCCGGACUGAGAGGUUGAACGGCCACAAUGGGACUGAGAACGGCCCAUACUCCUACGGGAGGCAGCAGUAGGGAAUUUUCGGCAAUGGACGGAAGUCUGAACCCGAGCAACGCCGCGUGAACGAAGAAGUAUUUCGGUAUGUAAAGUUCUUUUAUUUGGGAAGAAAAGAUAAGAUUGACUGUACCAAAUGAAUAAGCUCCGGCUAACUACGUGCCAGCCGCGGC
rnacentral:rRNA from 1 species